rnacentral:rRNA from 1 species
UACAGAGGGGGCAAGCGUUAUUCGGAAUUAUUGGGCGUAAAGGGCGCGUAGGCGGCUUGGCAAGUGGAAGGUGAAAUCCCUCGGCUUAACCGAGGAACUGCCCUCCAAACUGCUUUGCUUGAGGCCGGGAGAGGUGAGUGGAAUUCCUGGUGUAGCGGUGAAAUGCGCAGAUAUCAGGAGGAACACCGAUGGCGAAGGCAGGUCUCUGGGCCAUAACUGACGCUGAGAAGCGAAAGCAUGGGGAGCGAACAGG